rnacentral:rRNA from 1 species
GUGGCAUGGGACAUCAUGACGCGGCCGAAACAUCUUGGAGGGCUCGAUUUUAGAGACAUGGAAAUCUUUAACCUAGCAUUAUUGGCUAGGUAGGCAUGGAGGAUUUUGUGUGACCCUUCCUCUCUUAGUGCAUGCUUACUGAAAGCGGUGUAUUUCCCUAACUCAACCCUGCUCGAUGCAGAUUUUGGAGGCCAACCCUCUCAGAUAUGGAGGGUGAUAGUUGAUGGAAGAGACAUGCUUAGGCAAGGCAUCAUACGGAGAAUCAGAAACGGGAGCACUACAGAAAUAUGGAAUCAUAACUGGCUUCCUCGGCCUGGAAUGAUGAGACCCAUCUCCUCACUGAUUAUCAACCCACCAAAGUAUGUGUCUAAAUUAAUCAAUGAAGCAACCACAUCUUGGAACGAACAGCUGGUGCGUUCAGUUUUUGUUCCCAUCGACGCUGAAGCCAUCUUGGCAAUACCACUUUGCACAAGGAAUAUGAGCGAUUUCUGGGCUUGGAGCAGAGAGAAGAGGAAAUUUUUCUGUAAAAUUUGCGUAUAG